GUACGCUGGCGGCACGCCUAACACAUGCAAGUCGAACGAAGUAGCAAUACUUAGUGGCAGACGGGUGAGUAACAUGUAGGUAUCUGCCCUUUGGCCUGGAAUAACACGAGGAAACUUGUGCUAAUACCGGAUAAGUCUUUACGGAGAAAGCUUUAUGCACCAUUGGAUGAGCCUGCACUUGAUUAGUUUGUUGGUAGGGUAAUGGCCUACCAAGACUGUGAUCAAUAGCUGAUUUGAGAGGAUGAUCAGCCACAUUGGGACUGAGACACGGCCCAAACUCCUACGGGAGGCAGCAGUGGGGAAUCUUGCACAAUGGAGGAAACUCUGAUGCAGCGAUGCCGCGUGAGUGAAGAAGGCCUUUGGGUUGUAAAGCUCUUUCGUCGGGGAAGAAAAUGACUGUACCCGAAUAAGAAGGUCCGGCUAA
rnacentral:rRNA from 1 species